AUCAUUAUUAUUAUUGAUAGAUAACAAUUGCAAUAAUUGUGGUGCUUCAUUUGCCAGUUUAUUAAAGAGAAAGCACACUUGUAAUUGGUGUGGAAGGAUCUACUGUGGAUCCUGUACAGUAAAAGUGGCAAAAGCAUGGUUAGGAGCAACAUCUCCAGCUGCUUUCCAACAGACAGUAAGAGUAUGUCAAGAAUGC